CAUGAUGGGAAGCCGUUAUGCAUCAGCCGUGCUAUUCAGCUAUUGUUGUCCCUGAGAGGUUGUGGGCGUGGCGGAGCGGAGAGUCAUGUCUACUAGCAGCUGCAUCUAGCGUAUCCGAUUAUAACAUCCCGCCACCCAAACGGAAAUGCAACUACUACAUGACGUCACGACACACCGGCAACAGCAACAAGAGGAUUCUAAAUAAUUAGUACUAUAAUAAUUAGUACUAUAAUAAUUAGUACUAUAAUAAUUAGUACUAUAAUAAUUAGUACUAUAAUAAUGACUCCAUGUAGGAGUUCAGACGUGGAGUAACUAAUGCAAGACAAGGCAGGAUAAAUGUGCCGCGUUAGACUGAUAGAUUGUUCUGAUGUGCUAUUUUGCUAAAGUUAGCUAUCCAAAUAAAAUGUUCAGCUGAUGGUAUAUCAA